rnacentral:lncRNA from 1 species
GAGAUGCACUCCGUGUGUCAGUUGAUGAAGUUUUGGAUAAGGAUGCGCUACUUUCGUUUCCUGUCAAAGAUGAGAUGUCUACCGUAGAGCAUGCAUUGGCAACCCAUGUAGCAUGGCCAAAAGAAUUGGUUAUUGUAAAUGAUGAGGUAUAUUUUAUAUUGGAGUAUGUGUUUUUCAUCUUUAUUUUCGAAAAUAUUAUUACCUCUAACACAUGGUCUACAUUAAUUAGAAACAUAGAAAGAAGAAAAAGAAUGAGAAAAAGGAGGUGAAGGAUAAGAUGGUUAAGUGUUAUUCAUCGUUGCCAACAACAUUGAAAGCAUUAUGUUUCAUAAUGGAGUCUAGAUUUAGUGAUGUACUUGGAUUGCAUGUUCACUUAGAUGAUGA